UUCACACCUUUAUUUUGCUCUACAGCUCUUGAAGGAGUGUCUCACUGUGCUGUAUUACCGUGACUGCCGUGCACACUACAAGUAUCAGCUGGCAGACAUCACACCCGAAGGCGUUACCAUCCACGACAACCUAAACCUCAAGCCAGAGACCAACUGGACCAUUGCACACCAUAUCAAGGGAUACGAGUGAUCUGUUGUAGGAUUCCGGCUCCCGCACGUAGAUUCUUGCAGCGAAUCUUCGUCUUUCUACGUGUUGGCUAUUUAUCAGUUAGAUGUUUAAAUCACCAGUGGAUGUAUGUUUUUUCCUUUGUAUUUUCAUAUUCUCAACUUCACAGUGCAUCUCGGUAAGAUUAUUUGUGGAUAUAUUACAGAUAUUCCUAUGUUUCGAGUUUUUAACAAAAUGUGAUGCCUAACAAAGUAAAGAAAAUAAAACCAGGAGAAUGUAAACUUUAAUAGAUAAAAGACUAAACAAAAA